rnacentral:rRNA from 1 species
UACGGAGGUCCCAAGCGUUGUUCGGAUUCACUGGGCGUAAAGGGUGCGUAGGUGGUCAGGUAAGUCUGAUGUGAAAUCUCUGGGCUCAACCCAGAAACUGCAUUGGAUACUAUCUGGCUAGAGGAGUGGAGGGGGGACUGGAAUACUUGGUGUAGCAGUGAAAUGCGUAGAUAUCAAGUGGAACACCAGUGGCGAAGGCGAGUCCCUGGACACUUCCUGACACUGAGGCACGAAAGCUAGGGGAGCAAACAGG